UUAAAGGGACACUAUAGUGGCCUGAACAGCUUUGGCUUAGUGAGGCGGUUUUGGUGUAUGUAACGUGCCCCUGCGGCCUCAUUGCUCAGUCCUCUGCCAUUUGUGAGUUGAAUCCCUUUGUUUGUGAACCCUAGUCACGCCUCCCUGCAUGUGACUUGCACAACCUUCCAUAAACACUUCCUGUAAAGAGAGCCCUUUUUAGGCUUUCUUUGUUGCAAGUUCUGUUUAAUUAAGAUUUUUGUUAUCCCCUGCUAUGUUAAUAGCUUGUUAGACCCUGCAAGAGCCUCCUGUAUGUGAUUAAAGUUCAAUUUAGAGAUUGAGAUACAAUUAUUUAAGGUAAAUUACAUCUGUUUGAAAGUGAAACCAGUUUUUUUUUUCAUGCAGACUCUGUCGGUCAUAGCCAGGGGAGGUGUGACUAGGGCUGCAUAAACAGAAACAAAGUGAUUUGGCACCUACAUGGCGGUGAGUUGAGCGGUGAGGUUGCGGGGGAGUGAUUUGUGCACUAGGGCUGCUUUAUUUGGCUAGGGUGGUUUAGGUGGCUAUA